AGAGUUGAUCAUGGCUCAGAAUCAACGCUGGCGGCGUGCCUCAGACAUGCAAGUCGAACGAUUAAACUUUCCUUCGGGAAAGAUAUAAAGUGGCGCACGGGUGAGUAACACGUAAGUAAUCUACCUUCGAGUGGGGAAUAACCCAGGAAACCCGAGCUAAUACCGCAUAAUGCAGCGGCAUCGCAAGAUGACAGUUGUUAAAGAUUUAUCGCUUGAAGAGGAGCUUGCGGCAGAUUAGCUAGUUGGUAAGGUAAUGGCUUACCAAGGCUACGAUCUGUAACCGGUCUAAGAGGACGGUCGGUCACACUGACACUGAAUAACGGGUCAGACUCCUACGGGAGGCAGCAGUCGGGAAUUUUGGGCAAUGGGCGAAAGCCUGACCCAGCAACGCCGCGUGAAGGAUGAAGUCUUUCGGGAUGUAAACUUCGUAAGAAUAGGAAGAAUAAAUGACGGUACUAUUUGUAAGGUCCGGCUAACUACGUGCCAGCAGCCGCGGUAAUACGUAGGGACCAAGCGUUGUUCGGAUUUACUGGGCGUAAAGGGCGCGUAGGCGGCGUGACAAGUCAAUUGUGAAAUCUCCGGGCUUAACUCGGAACGGUCAAUUGAUACUGUUGUGCUAGAGUGCGGAAGGGGCAACUGGAAUUCUUGGUGUAGCGGUGAAAUGCGUAGAUAUCAAGAGGAACACCUGCGGCGAAGGCGGGUUGCUGGGCCGACACUGACGCUGAGGCGCGAAAGCCAGGGGAGCGAACGGGAUUAGAUACCCCGGUAGUCCUGGCCUUAAACGAUUGAUGCCUUGGUGUCCGGGU
rnacentral:rRNA from 1 species